CAACUUGAGAGUUUGAUUCUGGCUCAGAACGAACGCUGGCGGCAGGCCUAACACAUGCAAGUCGAACGACAUAGUGGCAGACGGGUGAGUAACGCGUGGGAACGUACCUUUCGCUACGGAAUAGCUCUUGGAAACGAGUGGUAAUACCGUAUACGCCCUUCGGGGGAAAGAUUUAUCGGCGAAAGAUCGGCCCGCGUUAGAUUAGUUUGUUGGUGGGGUAAUGGCCUACCAAGACUACGAUCUAUAGCUGGUCUGAGAGGAUGAUCAGCCACACUGGGACUGAGACACGGCCCAGACUCCUACGGGAGGCAGCAGUGGGGAAUCUUGCACAAUGGGCGAAAGCCUGAUGCAGCCAUGCCGCGUGAAUGAUGAAGGCCUUAGGGUUGUAAAAUUCUUUCGCUAGGGAUGAUAAUGACAGUACCUAGUAAAGAAGCCCCGGCUAACUUCGUGCCAGCAGCCGCGGUAAUACGAAGGGGGCUAGCGUUGUUCGGAAUUACUGGGCGUAAAGCGCACGUAGGCGGACUUUUAAGUCAGAUGUGAAAUCCCGGGGCUCAACCUCGGAACUGCAUUUGAAACUGGAAGUCUGGAGUUCAGGAGAGGUUAGCGGAAUACCGAGUGUAGAGGUGAAAUUCGUAGAUAUUCGGUGGAACACCAGUGGCGAAGGCGGCUAACUGGACUGAUACUGACGCUGAGGUGCGAAAGUGUGGGGAGCAAACAGGAUUAGAUACCCUGGUAGUCCACACCGUAAACGAUGACAGCUAGUUGUUGGCAGGCAUGCCUGUCGGUGACGCAGCUAACGCAUUAAGCUGUCCGCCUGGGGAGUACGGCCGCAAGGUUAAAACUCAAAGAAAUUGACGGGGGCCCGCACAAGCGGUGGAGCAUGUGGUUUAAUUCGAAGNAACGCGCAGAACCUUACCUACCCUUGACAUCCCGAUCGCGGUUUCCAGAGAUGGAUUCCUUCAGUUAGGCUGGAUCGGUGACAGGUGCUGCAUGGCUGUCGUCAGCUCGUGUCGUGAGAUGUUGGGUUAAGUCCCGCAACGAGCGCAACCCUCAUCCUUAGUUGCCAUCACGUUUGGGUGGGCACUCUAAGGAAACUGCCGGUGGCAAGCCGGAGGAAGGUGGGNAUGACGUCAAGUCCUCAUGGNCCUUACGGGUAGGGCUACACACGUGCUACAAUGGCAGUGACAAUGGGAUAAUCCCAAAAAGCUGUCUCAGUUCAGAUUGUCCUCUGCAACUCGAGGGCAUGAAGGUGGAAUCGCUAGUAAUCGUGGAUCAGCAUGCCACGGUGAAUACGUUCCCGGGCCUUGUACACNNNGCCCGUCANAUCAUGGGAAUUGGCUCUACNNGAAGACGCUGUGCUAAC
rnacentral:rRNA from 1 species